UCGACAAUACUUCAGAGAAUCAUUUCUAUAGUAGUCGUCCUCUUUUGUAUUCCCCAAAGGAGCCACAGAUCCCACCCGGGUUGAUGAACGAUAUCCUCGACACCUACACAAUGAGGCCCUUUUACUUU
rnacentral:misc_RNA from 1 species